rnacentral:rRNA from 1 species
UUGUAAAGUAAUUCAUAUGGCAUUAAUGCAUGUUAUCCCAUUAUAAAUUCGCAGUUAAGCAUGAUUGGGAUAGAGUAGUGUUUGGAUGGGUGACCUCCUGUGAAGUUCUAGUGUUUUACAUG